rnacentral:lncRNA from 1 species
UGAAUUUAGAAUCAACACCCUAAAUUACUUUAUAGUGACUCACAAAUGUACAUGUGAACUUUUUUUUUAAUAUAGAUGCCUAUGUACCAAAACCACAGUUCCAAGCACUACCUUUGAACUAUUAAAACUACAGUAAGUGUGAAUAUUAUUAAAAAUGAACUGGUAUUUAAUUUAUUUGAAUCCAGGAUUGGGUAUCCCAGAAUAACUACUAGAUAAGUCCUUCACCUUACAUAGAGUAAAUCCCAGAACCCCUAGAUUCUUCCCACCUUGGGAGAAAACAGUUGGGCUUGGGUAUUUAUUUAGAGAGGUACAGAGUCCUGAAGGAGACUGACCCAGAUUAAUAUGCCAGAUGUGCCAGAGAAAAAAAUUCCCAUACGAGAUAUGAGAGUAGACUAGAGAACUCUUGGGCCACCAUAGUACCACAUUUCUGAACUUCCAGUCCCUUCUACAUGUGGUUCAGGUGCACGAGGUUGGAUAUUGCCCUACAUAUUGGGAUGACUAGGACAUACAGGGUGGGUCCUGAGUGAUUAAUUCCUAUGUGUGACUCUCUUCUCUCUUCUCUGAUCCAUAUCCAUGGGUUCCUGCCUGGCUGCUGGAUGGAUGUGUCCUGCUCAUACCCUGAACCACGACAGAGAGAAACUACUAUUCCCAGAACCUCAAGCCUCUCUCUGCCUGCCUCUUAAGUUCUGAACUGUACUAGGCUCUUCAUGCCAGUGAGAAUAAAUGGGACUACCCCCUGAAACACAAACUGGUAUCGAGGGCCAAGCUUGCCUGAUAGUCCCAAAGAGACCUGGUAACUUGGGAUGAGCUGCUCAGAUGUAGGGAUCACUGCAGGCUAUGUCACCCUUCACAGAUACUUGAGGUACAUGCUGAGCUGUACUGGGAAGGUUUGGGGAACAAAAAGAGCCACCUCUGCACUGAGGACAGUCAUUUUGUAGACAUGAUGAAAUCAUUUAAUAUCUUCUCACAGAGCCAGGUUGUGGCUCAGUGGUAGAGUGCUUGCCUAGCAUAUGUGAAGCACUGGGUUCUAUCCCUUGCACCACAUAAAAAUAAAAACAAAUAAAAUAAAGGUAUUGUGUUCAUUUACAACUAAAAAAAAAAAAAACUACAACUACUCUGCAGCCUCCUG